rnacentral:rRNA from 1 species
ACGAACGCUGGCGGCGUGCUUAACACAUGCAAGUCGAGCGGUAAGGCCCUUUCGGGGUACGACGAGCGGCGAACGGGUGAGUAACACGUGGGUGACCUGCCCUCAGCUCUGGGAGUAAGCCGUGGGAAACGUGGGUCUAAUACCGGAUAUGACUCCAUGACGCAUGUUGUGGGGUGGAAAGCCUUGUGCGGCUGAGGAUGGGCCC